rnacentral:lncRNA from 1 species
GCCUGCUUGCACUUGCCUGUGCUUGCUGUCUGGGUGUACUGUGCGUGUCUGUGCCUACUGCUUUCAUGUGGGUUCCAGGGUUGGGAAGUUCAGUCAUUCUCAGAGGUGCUAAAGGAAGCAAAAGACAGCUUCCUCUUCUGACCAACUUGUUCAUUUAAUUUUAGGUUUUUUUUUUUCCAAAUUAUCUUAGAGUGAAAGUGCCUAAAGCUGUCUGUUAUUUUAAUUUGGAAAUGUAAUUAUUCUUGGCUUUGCCUAAAUCCUCUUACUCCCAUCUCCAGGAAAGACUGGUGACCCAUAAAUCUGAAACGUUUCACUCAUGUUUUGUGUGUGUGAAACUGAGAGCUUUACGUAAAUAACCUGCUCUGUAAUAAAAUGUUACACAGCAUAAAGGAAGAACUAACUCAAUUCAGAGCAUCUUGCUACAUAUUUUUAUUGUAUAAGAUAAUUUUUAAAAUUAAACAUAUUUUGAUCAUAUUCUCUUCCUCCCCUGAGUCCUUUCAGAUCAUCUCCCCUCCCUACACACCCAAGUUUAAGUUCUUUC